rnacentral:ncRNA from 1 species
CAUUGGUGAGAAUCCAAUGCCUCGAAAACCUAAGGGUUCCUCUGCAAGGUUCAUCCACGUAGGGCGAGUUAGGGCCUAAUAUCAAGCCGAAAGGCAUAGUCGAUGGACAAUAGGUUAAUAUUCUUAUACUACCCCUUGUUGGUCCCAAGGGACAGAGGAGGAUAGGUUAUCUGAAAUAUGGUUAUCGGUUCAAGGACGCAAGGUGACCUUCUAUACAUUGAUUCAAAGGUAAAAGAAGAAUCAAAUAUAGGUGUGUACAAGGUGAGGUUAGGGGUGGAUAUUCCUCAUCAUCUACUCUAGCACACAAAAAUCCAAGAUGGAUUAUACAAACAUUAUAGAAUGCACAAAAUCAUGUAGGAGCACCCAUAUCAUCAAUGAGGGUGAGUAUACCUCCUAGGAGA